GUCCCCUGGCAAUGGGCAAAGGGACACAUUGUUGGUGGCGCUGUUCUUAUGUCAGUCAGGGGCAGAGCAGAUGGCAGUCCUUUGUCCAUCCUAUCCUGAUGCCUGGCUUGGUGGCCACAGCUGUCUUAUGCCUAGAACACGUAG